UUACAAUGGAGAGUUUGAUCCUGGCUCAGGAUGAACGCUAGCGGCAGGCUUAAUACAUGCAAGGCGAAGGGGCAGCAAUGUCACUGUCGUACGGGUGCGUAACGCGUAUGCAACCUACCUAUCACUGGGGGAUAGCCCGGGGAAACCCGGAUUAAUACCGCAUAAAACAGGGGCACCGCAUGGUGAUAUUUGUUAAAGAUUUAUUGGUGAUAGAUGGGCAUGCGUUCGAUUAGCUAGUUGGCGGGGUAACGGCCCACCAAGGCGACGAUCGAUAGGGGAGCUGAGAGGUUGAUCCCCCACACGGGCACUGAGAUACGGGCC
rnacentral:rRNA from 1 species